rnacentral:lncRNA from 1 species
AGUAUUGAUUUUCAUAAUAAUAACAACAACAAUAAUUUUGGCAAUUUUCUACUAGAAAUCAACCAUACAAUCAUCCGCCAGUAUAAUUAUGCUCACCCCAUUCCAAAAACAAGGUGGUGAUCACAAUAUGCGGAUCUAAAUUACAAACACAUAUAUAUUACACACAACCAUUGAUAUAAAAAGAAGAAAAAUCAUCAACAAUCUAAGACGAAGACCCUUCUUCUUCUUCUUUGUUUCCUUUCGUGCACCUCAUUUCAGGGAAAAAAAAAAAAAACAGGAGGUGAUCACAAUAUUUCCCAUGAAAUAAUAAUAGUACCAAGUAGAGAAACGAGAAGACGGAAAAUAGAAAACUGCUAGUCGAUUGAGGAAAGCAUACCCUUAAAUUUAAUAAGGCCCUUUAAGCGAAGGACCCUUCAAAGUUCAAACUGC